rnacentral:rRNA from 1 species
AUGCGAAGCAGCCCCUGGAUAACAUGACGUCAUGCAGAAAGCGUGGGAGCAACAGAUAGAUACUGUAGUCACGCCUAAACGAUUCCACUAGUGUCGGGUCUAUGACUAGUACGCAGCUAACGCGUGAAGUAGACCGCCUGGGCAGUACGUCGCAAGAUUAAAACUCAAAGGAAUGACGGGACCGCACAAGCGGUGGAUGAUGUGGAUUAAUCCGAUGCAACGCGAAAAACCUUACCUACCCUUGACAUGGAAGGAAUCCCGAAGAGAUUUGGGAGUGCUCGAAAGAGAACCUUUACACAGGUGCUGCAUGGCUGUCGUCAGCUCGUGUCGUGAGAUGUUGGGUUAAGUCCCGCAACGAGCGCAACCCUUGUCAUUAGUUGCUACGAAAGGGCACUCUAAUGAGACUGCCGGUGACAAACCGGAGGAAGGUGGGGAUGACGUCAAGUCCUCAUGGCCCUUAUGGGUAGGGCUUCACACGUCAUACAAUGGUACAUACAGAGGGCCGCCAACCCGCGAGGGGGAGCUAAUCCCAGAAAGUGUAUCGUAGUCCGGAUUGUAGUCUGCAACUCGACUACAUGAAGUUGGAAUCGCUAGUAAUCGCGGAUCAGCAUGUCGCGGUGAAUACGUUCCCGGGUCUUGUACACACCGCCCGUCACACCAUGGGAGCGGGUUCUGCCAGAAGUAGUUAGCUUAACCGCA